GAGCAUCUGCUGAUAGGCCAGGAGCAUUGCUUUGUGCUUUCUGGUUUGCAAUAAGAUGCAAUAACAACUUCCUUGCGCUUUCUGUCUGCCUGACAACAUGGCAACUCAGAUUGAAUAUGGGAGAACAAUU